rnacentral:lncRNA from 1 species
UUCUGUAAAUAUUUUCUUCUUAGAAAAAUGCUAGGCAACUUCUAUAUAAGUGAGUAAGAAACACCUCUCCCAUUAGGGCAAGAUAAUAAAUAGUGUGUAUGUAAGUAUAAGGAAGAUCUGAUUAAUGAUUUUUCUUAUGUUGUAAUAUGUUCAAGAAAUAAAAAGUUUGUUUCAUAUAUUCUUUGUCAAUCUUUUAUGCUGGUGAAAAAUGAAGGUUGCAAUAUUCGGCCUUAACGGAGGAAGGACGAAAUAGUAGCCUGAGAUAGUGAGUCACAAUAGGCUAAAAGGUUCUUCAUAGCCGGAAGGAGAAUCACUGCGGUGUUGAUACAGCUAACAUAAAAGAAAACUGAAAGGUAUAUGCAUAAACUCUAUCAUUUCAUGAACAUAUUAGCAUAAGAAAAGUCUAUUUUCAUAUCAACUCUAUACCUUCAUACAUAUUAUACGUUAUCAAUUACCUAUAGGGAAUUUAAAAUCAUGAUUGUUCAAAUUUGUCAUUAUGAAAGUAGUACACGAGUAAAACAAUUGAGAAGAUUGUAUUGGGAAUCCAAAAUGAUUAUUGCAAAAGUUGAUAGCGAUAUAAUAAUUUUUGAGAAAUUAUGUUCAACGAGUUUGUCGUUUAAAAAAUAAUUCAAAUAAAUCCGAAAUUAGCAGAUUAAAAAUAAUAUUUCUUUCAGCUAUUGGCCGAAAUCAUACUAUAAAAAUGACACAGAUUUCUCUGUUAAAAAGACAUAAGGCUAAGAUAAAGAAGACUAUUCUUUACGCUGCAUAAAAUAAUCAUCAUGAAGGUAAUACAACCAAAAUUAAUAAAGUUCAGAUAAAAUCUUUGGAAAUCCAAAACAAUUAUAAAUAGAAUUAAAGAAGACAUGAGGAAUUUGAGAAACUACCUUUGUAAAAUAUAUCGGUUUAAAACCACUUCAGUUAAUUCUGAAAUUAACAAGUUUAAAAUACUUCUACUUAGAGCUUUAGAUAGAAAUCGUGCUCUAAAAAACACACAGAAUUUUCUGUUAAAAAGAAAUAAGAUUAGGAUAAAGAAGACUAUUCUUUAUAGUGCCUAAUGAGUUAUUAUACUAUAUUCUUAGAUGAAAAUACAUUAAUCAAUAUUUUAAAAGUGAUAAAAUUAAAUAACGACCUACAAGAAAAAAUUGUAGAAAAAAUUAUAGAUCAUCUUGUCCAAUAACAAUGGUCUAUUCAUGACUAUUCCUAUGUGGAUUAGGGGUGGGCGUUCAAUUGGUUCGGUUUGGUUGUUUAAUAUCAGUUCAGCUUAUCGAUUUUUGGAUUGACAAAAAUGACAACCAUAACCAAACCGAAAUAAAAUUGGUUUGGUUCGGUUUCUUCAAAUUUGGUUCGGUUAUUUUGAAUUUUUAUUUCGGUUUGAAAUAUUAAAGUAGAGAGUGGAAUUAGGGUUACUAAAGUGUAUAUAUAAUUAAUAUAAUAUAUUGAUAAUAUAUAUUAUUAUAUAUAUAUAUAUAAUAAAUUAAUAAUAUAUAUAUAUUAUAAUAUUAUUUAUAAAAUUUUGGUUUUCGAUUUUUCGAUUUAACCAAAAAAAUUUUUAAGAAAACCGAAAUUUAAAAAUUGAAAACCGAAAUCAAUCCGAAAAAUCAAAACAAAAAUUAAAUUUCAGUUCGGUUUUUCGAUUUUUUCAGGUUUUCGGUAUUCAUGCCUAGCCCUAAUGUGGAUAGUGAUGAUGAUCCAUACUAUUGGUAUGACAAUGGUUAUUUCACUGAUUAUAUAUAUAUAUAUAUAGUAAAACAAUCUUAAUUGAUUCUCAUUAACCGAAUACUAUGAGAUUGCAAUAUAACAAACAAGGUGCUACCAAGAUAAUACAAUACAAGAGUAAAUACUAACACAAUACCAAAUCAUAUCAAGAAAUAUCAAUGCAGUGUAAUGUAGUGCUAAUGAUGAGAUGAUGAUGAAUGGUGAAAGUCAUUGAAUGACUUUUUAUAUACACCCACCGAGAUCACAAGCUACCGGGUAGGAUUCAUAGGGGGUCGCAAUCCAUAUACUCAUAUAAUCUCAAUGUUGUGUCUCAGAUCAACCUUAUUGGCACAUCCCUCAGUAUAGGCAUUUCAUAAGGUGUCUCAAUUUCUUAUAAAAAUUAGAAUGUCUCAGUGGUACCAAUAUCUCAUGAAUAUGCAUACGGGGUCUGAGGAUAUAAUUCUCACAACUAAUCGAUAUGAAGUCAAAAUCCAUUCAAUACAUGUAUAAGUGUGAUCAAAAUCAACUCAAUAUAUCAAUAAUUCAUAAUAUCAAUUUUCAUUUAGCACCACUAGAAUAAAUAGUUAUAUAGUCAUCAAUAUAAUCUUCUUUUAACCCCACUCGGACAUUAGUAUAAUGAAAAUACAAUUAACUACUUAUAUAAGAUCUACAAUGUCAAAUCAAGUACCCACUCGAAUGACAAAAAAAUAUAUAAGACACCUAAUGCACAAAACAUGACUAACAAUAUCACGUCAAGUCCCCACUCAGACGCCAUAAUAGAAUAUCCUCUCAAUUAAAAGCAAUAUGUAUAUAAGCCCCCCCUCCCCCCAGGCAUACGAUCAUAAAUAAUUACUCAAGUCCAUAAAUAAUUACCCAAGUCCAUAAUGAAGUUUGUAUAAGUCUCACAUGGGUAUCACAAAAUAAAUAACAAUCCGAAAAAUAAUAAAUCACGGUCUUCUCAAACCUAACUUGGUUCAUUAAGUCUCACCAACUAUCACAAGUAUAUUCAUUCUCUAAGAAUUCUCUAAACCUCAAAUUCCAUCAAUAAUGACGAUAAUAACAUCAUUACCCCUAAAAAGAAACUAAUCCACAAUUAUCUCAACAAAGUCCGCUAACACAAUUCAAGCUCUAAAAUGGCAAUCCAACAACAAUUAUCUGAGAAUCACUGGGUUAUCUAUCUAUAUUCUACUCUACGGACAUUAUCAAUAAUAAUACUAACUAAUCAAGUAAAUCAUCCAAUUACAAUCCAUCAAAGAUUUUGAUACCCACGGAGAUGCUCUUCAUUUUACCGAAGUGUGAUCCCCGAUCCUAAGUGAUAGAAAAAAAAAACAAGUGUACAACUCAUAAACACUUUGAAAAAAGUCAAGGUAUAUCUCAACUUGUCUUAAAUGGAGAUCCGCAAAUCCAAAAGCAGUCCAAAGAAAUCGAGAGCCCAACUCUCUCGAAUCCACACCAAUGUGUCCAAUAUACUUAAACAUGUCAUCUAUAGUCAAAAGAAAGCUAAUGAUCCCCAUAUUGACCCUAUUUAAGGCAGAUCCAAAUUAAAAUGAGUUCGAAAAUAAAAAAGUUAACACCAAAAUUUUAUUUAAGAAUAGUAUUCUCCAUAUCAAGAGGAGUCUAUAGUUGAAACCCCAAAAAAUAAUGAGCAGAAAUCGAAUCUCAAAUUGAAGAAAAAUCAAUUUAUACUUUACCAGAUAAAAAUUCCCAAAAUCGUAGUUUGAAAUCAUGAUUUUAAAAAGUUUUUGAUGAUAUAAUCGAUGAAAAUUUAUGAGAAUAAUGUUUUGAAACUUACCCAAGCUCAAAUGAUGGAAAAAACUUCAAGAAUCGGCUAGACUGGAAGCUCAAAGGUCCAAAAAUAGAGAAAAAGUGUGAAAAUGGAUUUUUAUAUCAAACCUAGCUUUGGCCGGUUAAGUGAUCAUCACUAAAAUGAUGGGUGACCGCUAAAGCGGUCUGGUCUACAUUGUUAUACUUGCUAAAGUGGUUAAGUGACCGCUUUAGUAGUAGGCGGCGAGUCAUGCAUGACCGCUAAAGCGGUGCUCUUCUGCUUAAGCGGACAUUGGUAAAGUGGUAUUAUGAUCACUAAAGCUCCUAUACCAGGAACUUUGCUAGGUUGCAAAGUAGUCGGUUGACCCCUCGACAUUCGUUUGACAUUUCGUGAAUGCAAACAAACUAUAUAUGCUACUAGGAUAAUUUUGAUAUUCUGAACUUAAUGAUGAUGUUUUAAUUUUCAAAAAAAGAUUUUUUUCACUAAAUUGAUCCCCAGGACUGCUUUUUAUUAUUUUCCUUAUGAUGGACCAAAAUACAAGAUAAGGGUCUUGAACUCGAAUCAACCGCACUACUGACCAAAAUUUGAUAUUCCAAAUCUGUUGGCGACGUUCAAACUGUAACCCAUCUCUCAGAACAAUGAAUGUUGAUCAAAGUCAACUAUAUGACUUCUUAAAUCUCUAAAAAAGUCAUAAACUCACAUAAAACUUCUCGAUCGCAUCGAAAACCAUGCCCGCUAUCUUCAAACUUCAAAAUUAACAUGUAGAAACUAUGGAGAAGGACAAAAUGAUCAAAACACAGAAAUUUCUAAAUUUCAAUACAAGGAUCAUUACAGGAGUCAUGUUACCCAUUCCUGAAGAUGACAAACAACAAAAUACGAUUAUGAAAAGGGAUAAAAUGACCAAAACACGCCAAAUGGAUUUAAAAAUAUAUGCUUAAUAUCAUCCACAGUUUCUUCAUAAUUAUCCAAAUGGUCCCAAAUAUUUAACUUCAUCUACUGCCAAACGACAAAAUCACAUGCUAAUAGUACUUGAAUUUUUAUUUUUGGAUUUUCUAUUUGAUCUCUGAUAUUCAGUUUUGAGCUUAUUUCUAGAAGACGCUCUCAAUAGAGUAUUUUUAUUCUCAGAAGUUUAAGUCGAAAUCUUUGAUUAAGAAAUUGGAUUUCAAUCAUUUAUCACAACUUAUGUUGGUGAAACAUAUUACUUGCUCCACCCUUCAUUUCACCUUAUUUAACAUUAUUUUACUUGGGAGGACCCAACUCGCUCCUUCUUCGUGAUCAUGAUCAAAUCCUGUGAUUGAAUGUUAAAGGAUUUUCCACUCUGCGGUCGCAAUAGGGGCGUCACAAACGUGAAGAAGGGGCUAGGUUCACCAGUUGAAGCAUCUCAAGAAAAAAUCUCUGUGACGGACCCUCGAAAUGCGUUCGGAACUCCAUGAACACAAUUCAACUAUGCUACUAAACCAAAUUUGUCAUUCUAAAAUCAACGAAUCAGUUAGAAUUUUCAGUGCAGCUGUUAUUGUUAGAAGAUGUCCAAAGUUAACUUUGGGCCUUGAUUUCUAACAUCUCAUUUAAACUCUCAAAAUUUUACCGAAAUCCUCGAAAUCUGAACCAACUAUUCUACUUAUUCAAAAUUGAGGGAAUACAAAAAUGUAUUCUUUUUGCUAAAUAAAUUAAAUUUUUUAUUUCAUCCAAAUGGUCCUGACUUGUUAAUGUCAUCCAAAUGGUCCUAAUUUAUUAAUAUCAUCCAAAUGGUCCUACACGUACACUUAAAAUCUGUGGGAAAAUGGCAAAGUCACAUGCUAGCAAUAAGCACGUUUUUCUCGUUGAAGAACAAAAGUAGGGACUCGUGUUUUCCACAAACUUCAUUCUUAAGUCUUCCCAUAUAUUUUGAACUCCAAAUUAUACAUUUUGAACUCUAUUUAAAUUGUGAGUGGACUCCAUAAUCCUAAUCUUAGUAAUCUACCUAAAUUAAAUUCUUUUAUGUAUUUAUCAAUAGAUAUUUUUUGAUCUCAACUUGAUACUCUAAUUUGUUGUUUAGAUUGAAAUUCCUUAUCCUUAGUAGUUUCUAGGUAAUUAAUUAUCCUCAAGUUUCUGAAAUUUGUUUAUAAUUUAUAUCUUUGAUUGUAAUGAAUUGUGACAAAAAUUGAUUAGAUGAACACAUUUCAUACUUAUAGAGCGUAAAAGAUCUCUUUUCAUUUAAACACACACAAAUUUAAAACAAGAUAC